rnacentral:rRNA from 1 species
UACAGAGGGUGCAAGCGUUAAUCGGAAUUACUGGGCGUAAAGCGCGCGUAGGCAGCUGUCUAAGUCGGGUGUGAAAGCCCCGGGCUCAACCUGGGAACUGCAUUCGAUACUGGACGGCUAGAGUAUGAGAGAGGGAGGUAGAAUUCCACGUGUAGCGGUGAAAUGCGUAGAUAUGUGGAGGAAUACCGGUGGCGAAGGCGGCCUCCUGGUUCAAUACUGACGCUGAGGUGCGAAAGCGUGGGGAGCAAACAGG